CGUAGCUCAGGGGUAGAGUACUUCCUUGGUAAGGAAGGGGUCACGGGUUCAAAUCCCGUCG
rnacentral:tRNA from 1 species